AUGUUUUUAUUACUUUCUAUUUUUUACUUCACCUCAGAAUGUAAUAAAAAAUUACAAGGAACAGAGAAUAAACAAAACAAAAUAUAUAAUGCGUCCGAUUACAUAACUGAUAAAAAUAACAAUACUAACAUUGACAAUGAUGAUAAAACACAUAAUCAUGUAGAUGAUAAUAUGACUAGUGAUGAUACCACAUGCUACAGUAGCAGCAGUAGUAGUAGUAGCAGCGAUACCGAAAAUGAUGAAAUUUCGAUUUAUUUGUAUAAUAACAGUGACAACCACAGUGACUAUAGAAAAUACAAAGAUAAUAACCACAAUGUCAAUCCUAAUGAAGACAACAACAACGAUAUAGAUAGAGAUAGAGACAGAGAUAAAGAUAAAGAUAAAGAUAAAGAUAAAGAUAAAGAUAGAGAUAGAGAUAACAAUAGCGAUGACGAUAACGACAAUUGUAAUGAACAUACCAAGUUAUGUGAACAAACAAAUAAACUACAUGAAAUAGGAAAAGCUAAUAAAAAUAUGCUAAAAAAAAAAAGAAAACAAAAAAAACUAGAAUUACAUAUAUACCAAAAAGAAAACACACAAAAAAUUAUUCAUGAUAUUAAUUGUAUAAAUGGUUUUAUAAAAACAUUGUCAGAAAUAAUUAUUAAUACUCAACAAACAUUUGAAGAGUUUUUCGUUAAUAAAAUGUUUGACAUUUGUUCUGGAUUUUUAAUUUAUUUGCAUUCAUUGUUAGCUAUUUAUAAAAUGACGAACAAAAGAGACUCAUAUAGUCAACUAUAAUAUAUAUAUAUUUUAUACCCGCUUUA
rnacentral:lncRNA from 1 species